UACGAAGGGGGCUAGCGUUGCUCGGAAUCACUGGGCGUAAAGGGUGCGUAGGCGGGUCUUUAAGUCAGGGGUGAAAUCCUGGAGCUCAACUCCAGAACUGCCUUUGAUACUGUAAGACUUGAGGAUGAGAGAGGUGAGUGGAAUUCCCAGUGUAGAGGUGAAAUUCGUAGAUAUUGGGAAGAACACCGGUGGCGAAGGCGGCAUCCUGGACCGGCAUUGACGCUGAGGUGCGAAAGCCAGGGGAGCGAACGGG
rnacentral:rRNA from 1 species